AUAGGACAGAUUCUUCUACUGGGCUAAGAGUAUAGUUGGAUAGAUUAACAAUGAUGCUGGGUGGGUGAAGGGAACCACUAUUGUGGCCCCCUGUGGCAUGUAGUAGUUUAGAUAGGUUAGUGUCCUUUUUCAUUUGUAGAGAAGCAAAGUGUGUGUUGUAAAUGGCUUGUCUAGUUUUUGUAAAAUCCAGCCACGAGGCAGUUUGUGUGGAAGGUUGUUUUUUUAUGAGAGUAUCCAGUUUUGAGAGCUCAUUCUUAAUCUCUCCCUGUUUGCUGUAUAAGAUGUUGAUCAAGUGGUUCCAAAGUUUCUUUGAGAGUGUGUGGCACAAACUGUCAGCAUGGAUUAGGUUACUCCUUUUCUUUUUGCGGAUACAGACUAACAC